rnacentral:rRNA from 1 species
UAGGGAAUCUUCCGCAAUGGACGAAAGUCUGACGGAGCAACGCCGCGUGAGUGAUGAAGGUUUUCGGAUCGUAAAACUCUGUUAUUAGGGAAGAACAAAUGCGUAAGUAACUGUGCGCAUCUUGACGGUACCUAAUCAGAAAGCCACGGCUAACUACGUGCCAGCAGCCGCGGUAAUACGUAGGUGGCAAGGGUUAUCCGGAAUUAUUGGGCGUAAAGCGCGCGUAGGCGGUUUCUUAAGUCUGAUGUGAAAGCCCACGGCUCAACCGUGGAGGGUCAUUGGAAACUGGGAAACUUGAGUACAGAAGAGGAAAGUGGAAUUCCAUGUGUAGCGGUGAAAUGCGCAGAGAUAUGGAGGAACACCAGUGGCGAAGGCGACUUUCUGGUCUGUAACUGACGCUGAUGUGCGAAAGCGUGGGGAUCAAACA